AGGGAGGUAGCUUAGUGGUAGAGCACUUGCUUACCAUGCAUGAGGUCCUGGGUUUCAGUCCCCAGCAUGACUA
rnacentral:tRNA from 1 species